rnacentral:rRNA from 1 species
AUACGGAGGGUCCAAGCGUUAUCCGGAUUUAUUGGGAUUAAAGGGUGCGCAGGCGGAAUGAUAAGUUAGUGGUGAAAUCCCGAGGCUCAACUUCGGAACUGCCAUUAAUACUAUCAUUCUUGAAUUCGGUUGAAGUGGGCGGAAUGUAGCAUGUAGCGGUGAAAUGCAUAGCGAUGCUACAGAACACCGAUCGCGAAGGCAGCUCACUAAGCCGAGAUUGACGCUCAGGCACGAAAGCGUGGGGAGCGAACAGGAUUAGAAACCCGAGUAGUCC